GUGGAUGUUAGAGGUUUGAAAAAAAAAUAUCUGCCAGAUCUUUGAUCCAUAAUCAUCCGAGCGUUACGUGUUUGGGUGCCUAUUAAGCAUGACUACACUGUUUUCCAGUGGCCAUGGCAACAAAGGAGCCUGAUUGAGCUGCAUGAGCAGGAAGUGCUGCAAGGACAACAGGAUGUGCCCUGGCUCCGCCGCCGGGGGUCGAAGAAUUCAAGGAAGUUAUUGUACUUUGUGGAAUGAGCUCAGGAAUGCAAGAUGUCUGCCAUUUCUUUUUUUUUCCAUUUUUUAUUUUGAGCUCUGAGUCAAAUCACAUGUUGAAGGCGACAGGCUUUGAAGAUAAUGCGACCCCGUUGGAUGCAUGUGUGGCACGGUGCUGGCACACGGAUGUUUGCAGUCACCCACCUCCACAUUCCCCGACGACGGCCUGAAGGAUUCACAGACAGGAACAAAACCCUCCCUCAGCAGUUAUUCGGCUGGGGUACGCAGGCGUCCAGUCAAGCAACCGAGGUGGAUGGAAAACUUGUCACCUGAAAAAACAGAUCGAAAUAUGCACCUUGUAACCUCACUGGAAGGCAGCUUACAACAAAAACAGUGAUAAAAUUCAGUGCGGUGUCACCGUCUGAUAGAUGCAGAGUUUCAGAGAAGAUAAAGAGCAGGAACACUGACCAGAUCGCUUCAAUGUCCCAUUUAAGUUUGGCUUUCAUUAGCUGGAGCUAAAAAUUCUUUCCACGGAGGAAAACAAUGUACUGUAUACAGUGCAUUGACUGUGUGGAGAAAAAAAAGGAAAAAAGCUUUAGGCCUGCAUCACAUGUGGGUGAAAUGUCUUGAAUUAAAACCACGUUUUAAAUGCAACAAAUGAGAACAUUAAAUGUGCAUGAUUUUACACCUGACCCACCCGAAUAUAUUUAACACUGCUUCGAAAACGGGGAUAUGAUCUUACUGUAAAAGAGUUGAUAGAUAAUCAUGUUUUUAAAUCAAGACCAAAAAAAAUGUCACAUGCAACAUCAGUGCAAGCUGAAAUUUUUCCACUUAGACCGCAUAUAACCUGCGGCUGGAGGAUACAUCGCUGGGAGUUUUCCACUUUCCACUCCUUUGACGUGUUACCCAAUACAGCAACGUGAAUGAUUUGUUUUAUUCACACUUUUAUAUACGAUCGCCUAUCAUUGGUCUCAUAAUAAUGUUAUUUUCUAUUAAUCAUUUACCAGUGAGGAACACCAAACGCUAGCCAGUUAAAUGUGACGAUUCCUUCUGCCUGUCCCCAAAAAGCUCACACUGAAUUGGGAAAACGAGCACUCAGAUUUGUAGCUCCUUCCUCCUGGAACCAACUGCAAAAUCAACUAAAACUUGAUUGAUUACUUCAUGCAGGAAUUUGUGAUGAAUAUUUUUGGAGAUAAAAUUUAUCAAAUAAUUCAGAAGGCAGCACAGAUCAAAUUGAUUGGUGAUUAUUUAACAUUUCCCUGAUCUUAUUGACCACUUAAAGCUUUUACACAGGGAGCCAUAUUAAUUAAUCACUUUAUCACACUCACUAAUCAAUGUAUGCAAAGUGUAAAAUUGGCCUCUCAGUUAGUGAGAAACACACUCUACCUCCUAAGCCAAAGCUAUUCCACAAAGGCAGAAACAAUUAAUUAAUUGUAAAAAUGUGUAUACGCGUCUUCUAAACUCUUAAAAUGAGACUAAAUGGAUAUUAAAAGUAGAAAACAUCCAUCCACUUCCAUUUCCCCAGCUACUUUCUCUUGCUGUUCCAGUAGUGGGCACCGACGAGUUCCCAAGCCAGCUGAGGGAUGUAACCUCUCCUGCAUUUCCUGGGUCGACCCUGGGGACUCCUCCCAGAAAGACAUGCCUGAAAUCUCAUCGAGAGGCAUCCUGAUCAAACAUCUGAACCUAAGAAAGAGGAGCAGCUCUACUCUGAGUCUGAGCUGCUCACCCAGUCGCUAACAAUGAGCCCAAAUGCUUUAUGGAAGAAACUCAUUUUGGCUGCGUGCAUCAAAUAUUUCAUUUUUUCCUCUCACUAUCCACAGCUUGUGGUCAUAGUGAGGGUACCAGUCACUAAGCACCAGUCAUAGGCAGAGGCCUUUUACAUUUAAUAAAACAUUAAUAUUUUGUGGAUGUGUAAGUCUGAUAAUCCAACAAGCUAAGCCCAUGUGAUCAAGCUAUUUUAGCAGCUAAAGCGUUUUUUAGUGUGGUUACUUAUGACUAAUAAAAUUGAUACCUAAAAAAAACAGGCAGCCAUUCACACCUGUGGCCAAAUUCUAAAUUAAUCUAACGAGCACAUCUUCUGGCUGAGGAAGAAAACUACAGUACCCAGAAGCUCUGUACUCACAGGCACAGAGACAACAUAUAACUUCAAACCAGGAACCUUCUCCCUGCAACAGGUUAACAAUUUCAAACUAGAAAAUAGUUUUAUAACUAGACAUAUCACAGUGGUGCAUAUAAAUAUACAGCUAGGAUCAUAAAUGAGCCACUUGAAUUGAAUUCAGCUGAGGUUUAUUUAAAUAGCACCAAAUCACAACAGCCACAUCAAGGUGCUUCAGUACCAAUGAUGAAAACGACGCCCUGUGAGCAAGCACUUUGUGAUGGUGGGAAGGAAAAACUCCCUUUUAACAGGAAGAAACUUCUGGCAGAACCAGGCUCGGGGAGGGGGGAGGGGGGCGGCCAUCUGCUGUGACAGGUCGUUUGGUGAUUGGAAAGAGAGAGGGGAAAAAAAAGAGAGCUGGGAUGUCAUGACAAAAUAUAGACUAAAGCAAAGACUAAAGUUUACUGACGUGCUGCAGAGGUGUAUAAAUAUGUGGGGAGUGAAAAGAAGACUCGGUCGGAGCCUGUAGCAGCUUAAUGAUGGGGUGGUAUGGAGUCACCUGAACUAGCCCUAACUUUAAGCUUUACUUUUCCAUAAACGUUUGAGUCCAAUCGUAGAAGCAGAGAGGGUGUCCGUUUCUCAAAUCCAAACUGGGAGCCAGUUCUGAAGGAAAGGCUCUGCCUCCCAUUUUAAUCAGUCGUUUAAUCCACUCACUUGCUCCACAGAAACCUCCAAACUGCUUGUGGCAUCUAUUCGCAUAUUUCCUGCAGUCAGAUUAUUAGCUGUCCUCUUGUGCGGUGUUUUUGAUCCUGACUCUAAUUGACCUCCCUCCCUGCGAGACUUGCCCGUGUUCUGGAUGUUUCCGCUGUGAAAGCCCUUCUCCCUGACGCGUGGAUAGAGCUGUUGUGCUGGGGGUCAGAGGGCAGCGGGGUCGUGGGUUAACACCACAAGCUGCUCUACAACAACAAACAAGUUGUCCCAAAAUCCCCAAAAGGGAGCUUAAAGACUUCACUUUCAGGUCCCAUAAAUCCCAUCACACCCCAAAUAAACAGCUAAUUUUCACGCUCAAGGCGCCACCGUGAAUGUCUCUUUCAAAGCCGCUGAUGAGUUUGCGAGCAUGUGGAUCUCGUCUUUCACAAGACAAAUCUAUUUUCCACGCUGCCGUCAGCUCUACUGCAUCUCCUCGCUCUGUAUCUACAGCAUUAAAAACGAGUAAUGGAGUGAAACACGUCGAGCUAAUGGGGGAUGAGGGUGAGAGGCCUGAUCCGCUGACGGAAGAAAUGUUUGCUUGGCGAUGAAAGCUACGUUCUGCCUGUGGGAUCAGGGUGUCUGUUUGUGCCCCUGGAGGUGUAGUGAACUGCACCAAAAUCCCCGCUGAUGAUGCGAUCUUCAAUGGAGAGGUUAACAAGUUUGACCCCAAAGGCCUCAUGGUCAAAGACAGACAGACAGGCAGACAGACACACAAACAUACAGGACGCCAGCAGAGAGGAUGUGUAGAAACUUUAGCUGUGGUUAAACAGCGUACAGGAACAUGUAGCACAAAAAUGUUAAGCUAUCUGAGCUGUUUUGUUUCUUUAGAAGUACUUUGUAAGAGAAAACGAAAGUCAGAAAAACCACUGAACAUCCUACUUAAAGAAAAUAAUAACUUGGGCACUAAUAAAAUAUACCAUAAAUUGAUAUGUCUGGUUUUAUUUCCUCUGUCUUUAUUUAUUUACAAAUUAAUUAAUGAUUUAGGCAGUUUUGAUCCUGAUGCCUUGAAAUAAUGGAUCUGUGGUCUCAUCUCUUGUAGAGCACCUUCAAUAAUAGAAGUGGUGAUAUCUGAUGGACGGAACAAUGACUGUGCACACAAACACAGUCACCUCAAGCUGCAAAAAGCAGAUCACUGUGCAAAAUGCUUGAUAAUGAGAGAUGUGGCAAAUAUUAAGUGUGUAGCAGUCAAUACGUUUGACUUGAUUGAUGCACUACUGCCCGGUCACUAUAAUUAUUAUUUGUGUGGUGGAUCAGACACAACAGCAGAUCAGCAUAUGUACAAGAAGAGGAUGGAAGCAAAGAUUUAACCUUGUUUAUAGAAUUCAUUGUAUACAAUGAAUUAUUUAACCUGCAAAUAUUAUUGGACAUGAGCGGGUGAGGAAAAUGAACAGGUAAAAUGGAUUUCUGUCAUAACAUCUGUUCAUUUAACCAUUUUUUACUUCUUUGAGUUCAUUUCCAGUUUGUUUGUUUUUUUAAAUAACAUUGUAGCAGGCUGAAGCUGGGCAAUUAAUCAAAUCUCAAUUUCAGGCAGGAUUUUGGCCUUCAGUGAGUCUAAAAACAACAUUAAAGAAAUAAAACUAUGACUUAUUUGCAGUAACUUUCCUUAUGAAGCUCUCACUUUGUCCUGUGUUAUAAAUUCAGCAUUUCCUUUUCUUUUACAGCGUUUCUAAAAGCUCCAAAUCUCUUACUGUUUAUUUCAAAUCAAG
ensembl:lncRNA